UACGUAGGUGGCAAGCGUUGUCCGGAGUUAUUGGGCGUAAAGCGCGCGCAGGCGGUCCUUCAAGUCAGGCGUGAAAGCCCCGGGCUCAACCUGGGAAUCGCGCUUGAGACUGAGGGACUUGAGUUCGGGAGAGGAGAGCGGAAUUCCCAGUGUAGAGGUGAAAUUCGUAGAUAUUGGGAAGAACACCGGUGGCGAAGGCGGCUCUCUGGACCGACACUGACGCUGAGGCGCGAAAGCGUGGGGAGCAAACAGG
rnacentral:rRNA from 1 species